rnacentral:tmRNA from 1 species
GGGGGUGACUGGCUUCGACUUCGGUAGUCGAGGCAGGAGAAGCGAGCCGUGGUCUCCGGAGCCACGUAAAAGAGCCGGAACAAACCAACAAACGCCGAUAACGGCAACGUUGCGCUCGCUGCCUAACAACAGCUAGCGCCGUCGGCCCGGCCCCAGCCCUGCGGGUCGGUCCCGGCGACAUCCAGCGGGGCUUACCUGUCCGGACUCGUCAACCGGCCGGAUGGGGACACCACAGGUUGACUGUGGCCUCUCGCCGGCGCCGGUGACGAGCGGGGGGCCGAGACCAGAUCACCGGCUGCGCUCGGAGAAGUCCUGCUGAGAAGCCGGAGGACGCGGGUUCGAUUCCCGCCACCUCCACCA